rnacentral:rRNA from 1 species
UUAAUUCGAUGCAACGCGAAAACCUUACUACCCUUGACAUGUUCAGAAGUCUUGAGAGAUUGAGAUGUGCCCGAAAGGGAACUGGAACACAGGUGCUGCAUGGCUGUCGUCAGCUCGUGUCGUGAGAUGUUGGGUUAAGUCCCGCAACGAGCGCAACCCUUGUCGUUAAUUGCCAUCAUUUAGUUGGGCACUUUAACGAGACUGCCGGUGACAAACCGGAGGAAGGUGGGGAUGACGUCAAGUCCUCAUGGCCCUUAUGGGUAGGGCUUCACACGUCAUACAAUGGUCGGUACAAAGGGUUGCCAAGCCGCGAGGUGGAGCCAAUCCCAGAAAGCCGAUCGUAGUCCGGAUUGCAGGCUGCAACUCGCCUGCAUGAAGUCGGAAUCGCUAGUAAUCGUGGAUCAGCAUGUCACGGUGAAUACGUUCCCGGGUCUU